rnacentral:rRNA from 1 species
GACGAACGCUGGCGGCGUGCCUAAUACAUGCAAGUCGAACGCAGUGGGGACGGGUGAGUAACACGUGGGUAACCUCCCAUCAGAGGGGAUAACACUUGGAAACAGGUGCUAAACCGAUACUGAUGGAUGGACCCGCGGUGCAUUAGCUAGUUGGUGAGGUAACGGCUCACCAAGGCCACGAUGCAUAGCCGACCGAGGAGGGUGUUCGACCACAAUGAGACUGAGGAACUGCCGCUCCUCCUACGGAAGACAGCAGGAGGGAAUGGUCGGAAAUGGACGAAAGUCUGACCGGACAACGCCGCUUGAGUGAGUAAGGUUUUCGGAUCGUAAAACUCUGUUGUUAGAGAAGCGGGAUCUAACCAGAAAGCCACGGGUAACUACGUGCCAGCAGCCGCGGUAAUUC